GGAAGGGGUCGCCGGAGGAGAGAGCGGAGGGCGGUCCUAGUGUGUCUCCUGGGUGCUGGGGAGGCCCUCUACCUGAGCAGUCGUGCUGUUGGCUGACUGGAGCGUCCAUUUUCCUAGUUCCAUCUGCCUGUGGGCUCUGGAGACGGAACUUAAGUCUUGGAUGAUUCCCACUGAAAGGGAGUCCCGUUCUGCCAUGACAGGCUAGUCCAGUAGAAGUCACUGGGAAAGGAGGCAAAGUGCAGUGGGAACGGAAAUCCUGAACCGCUUGAAUGAGAGACAGCCCCAGGCUUUAGGUAAAUAUUGAUGAAGAGAACGAGAAGUCUCAAUACCCACAAGACUGGAUUUAUUUUUUAAGUGUUUGCACAGGGGCUUUAGGCAAAGACCUCGCCAAGGAAUGUCUGGAGCAGGAGUGCUAACUUUGCCCUGACUAUGACAAAUACCUUAGGGGAACUGGUAAAGGAAAAAAGUUUGGGGCUGGAGAGAUGGCUCAGAGGUCUGCUCU